AGGGAAUGUGAGAAACUGUUCACUCUGAGGCAACAUCACUGGAGUAGGCUUUCUAGCCAUGGGAGAAAUGAGCAGGCUGUUUACAACAGGAAGACAUUGAAAGCAAGGAGAUGAACCAGCCACGUGUCUGGCUUUGUAGUCUUGCUGAGGCAUUCUUUCCUGAAUGGACCUAGUUCUUCUUCUCAAAUCCUGCUUCCAGCUGUCAAAGUCAACCAGUCCAUCAUUAGCGCGUCAUUAGUGAAUGGGAACGUGACCACCGAGUGUGAGAGCUAACCCGUCAACUGGACUGAGAGAAACCUUGGAGACUGAGCAUACUUCUGGGUUCCACCUCUUAGAGGUUCCACUACCUCCAAAUAGCACCACGGAUGGAG